UACGUAGGGUGCGAGCGUUGUCCGGAAUUAUUGGGCGUAAAGAGCUCGUAGGCGGUUUGUCGCGUCUGCUGUGAAAUCCCGAGGCUCAACCUCGGGCCUGCAGUGGGUACGGGCAGACUGGAGUGCGGUAGGGGAGAAUGGAAUUCCUGGUGUAGCGGUGGAAUGCGCAGAUAUCAGGAAGAACACCUAUGGCGAAAGCAGCUCUCUGGGACGGUACUGACGCUGAGACGCGAAAGCGUGGGGAGCGAACAGG
rnacentral:rRNA from 1 species